AAACUUUCAACAACGGAUCUCUUGGUUCUGGCAUCGAUGAAGAACGCGGCGAACUGCGAUAAGUAAUGUGAAUUGCAGAAUUCAGUGAACCAUCGAAUCUUUGAACGCACAUUGCGCCCGCCAGCAUUCUGGCGGGCAUGCCUGUCCGAGCGUCAUU
rnacentral:rRNA from 1 species